AAUUUUGGAGAACCUUUCUUUCUGGUCAUCCAUGAAGGUGAAACUUUAGCGGAAAUUAAAGUGCGGAUUCAAAAGAAAUUGCAGGUCUCGGAUGAGGAGUUCUCUAAGUGGAAAUUUGCAUUUUUAUCAUUGGGGCGCCCAGAAUACCUUCAGGACUCAGAUAUUGUAUCCAACCGUUUUCAGAGGAGAGAUGUUUAUGGUGCUUGGGAG
rnacentral:misc_RNA from 1 species